GUGGGUAUAGCUCACUGGUAGAGCGUGUGCUUUGCCUGCAUGAGGUCCUAGGUUCAAUCCUUGUCCCUCCA
rnacentral:tRNA from 1 species